AUACCAGCUGGCUGCAACUGUUUAUUAAAAACACAGCACUGUGCAAACACGAAAGUGGACGUAUACGGUGUGACGCCUGCCCGGUGCCGGAAGGUUAAUUGAUGGGGUUAUCCGUAAGGAGAAGCUCUUGAUCGAAGCCCCGGUAAACGGCGGCCGUAACUAUAACGGUCCUAAGGUAGCGAAAUUCCUUGUCGGGUAAGUUCCGACCUGCACGAAUGGCGUAAUGAUGGCCAGGCUGUCUCCACCCGAGACUCAGUGAAAUUGAACUCGCUGUGAAGAUGCAGUGUACCCGCGGCAAGACGGAAAGACCCCGUGAACCUUUACUAUAGCUUGACACUGAACACUGGUCCUUGAUGUGUAGGAUAGGUGGGAGGCUUUGAAGUGUGGACGCCAGUCUGCAUGGAGCCAUCCUUGAAAUACCACCCUUUAAUGGCUGGUGUUCUAACGUGGACCCGUAAUCCGGGUUGCGGACAGUGUCUGGUGGGUAGUUUGACUGGGGCGGUCUCCUCCUAAAGAGUAACGGAGGAGCACGAAGGUUAGCUAAUCCUGGUCGGACAUCAGGAGGUUAGUGCAAAGGCAUAAGCUAGCUUGACUGCGAGAGUGACGGCUCGAGCAGGUGCGAAAGCAGGUCUUAGUGAUCCGGUGGUUCUGAAUGGAAGGGCCAUCGCUCAACGGAUAAAAGGUACUCCGGGGAUAACAGGCUGAUACCGCCCAAGAGUUCAUAUCGACGGCGGUGUUUGGCACCUCGAUGUCGGCUCAUCACAUCCUGGGGCUGAAGUAGGUCCCAAGGGUAUGGCUGUUCGCCAUUUAAAGUGGUACGCGAGCUGGGUUUAGAACGUCGUGAGACAGUUCGGUCCCUAUCUGCCGUGGGCGCUGGAGAAUUGAGGGGGGCUGCUCCUAGUACGAGAGGACCGGAGUGGACGCAUCACUGGUGUUCGGGUUGUCAUGCCAAUGGCAUUGCCCGGUAGCUAAAUGCGGAAGAGAUAAGUGCUGAAAGCAUCUAAGCACGAAACUUGCCCCG
rnacentral:rRNA from 1 species